CUACGGGAGGCACCAGUGAGGAAUAUUGCACAAUGGGGGGAACCCUGAUGCAGCAACGCCGCGUGGAGGGUGACGCAUUUCGGUGUGUAAACUCCUUUUAUAUGUCAAGAAAAUGACGGUAGCAUAUGAAUAAGCACCGGCUAACUCCGUGCCAGCAGCCGCGGUAAUAAGGAGGGUGCAAGCGUUACUCGGAAUCACUGGGCGUAAAGGACGCGUAGGCGGGUUGGAAAGUCAGGUGUGAAAUCCUACAGCUUAACUGUAGAACUGCACUUGAAACUUCUAAUCUAGAGUAUGGGAGGGGGAGAUGGAAUUAGUGGUGUAGGGGUAAAAUCCGUAGAUAUCACUAGGAAUACCUAAAGCGAAGGCGAUCUCCUGGAACAUUACUGACGCUAAGGCGUGAAAGCGUGGGGAGCAAACAGGAUUAGAUACCCGGGUAGUC
rnacentral:rRNA from 1 species